AACAGAAAGAAAAUGGACAGAAUAGACUUUUAUUUCUACCUGGCAGGAAGUGCAGGGAGGAAGUGAUGUCAUGAAGCAGAUACACCUGUGAGCUGCUGCUAAUGAAAGAAGCCUGGAGAACAAAGGAGAUGAGUGAGAGCACUGGGAGGAACCAGGAGAUUUCAGGAGGAACUUCCCAGAUUGUGGUCAGUUCUCUUCUAAAGUGUGAUAUAUUAAAGUAAAGUGAGCAGUCUGGAAUAAACGGAGUAGAUUUAGAAUCCAGAAGCAGCUUUUUCCUGCUCUUGAACCACCUGCUGGAUAUGAACUGAUCCCAGGACAGGAGAUUCCACCUCUUCAGCUGUUGGGAUGUCUGCACCUUCUGUUGGACCCUGGUGGAGAUUUUAUUAUUUCCAGGAUGUCGUGGACGUAUCUUCUCCAGAGUGUGGGUCUGCAGAGCGGGGAUGGCUUUGGUUUCCAGGUCCUCCAUGAAAAAGUUACUCAUUAUGGCUGAAAGUGGAUCUUUUUUUCAACUUUAUUUUACCAGCAUUAAAACUUUGUCUGCAGAGAGAAAAGAACGACUCCGUUUUUUGCCAGACUGGAGGAUGUUGGAGGGAGUCUGUUAAUCUCUCUGGACCUGACAUUUGAAAACCUCCACCUCUCCUCACCCUCCCAGCCCACUGAUGUGAGGAAAUCCAGCUCUGAACAGACUGAACUCCUAAAUCCCUCCUGGAAGUUUCACCCUGAACAGACAACUGCAACGCCGUGGUAACGGGCAGAUUACAGGUAACA